rnacentral:lncRNA from 1 species
GUGAGAGAUCCUUACAUAAAUCGGUGUUUUGGGAUGUUUCGCUGCCUACUAUACUUCCUAACGGGUACCAAAUUUCUUGAAUUAUCCAUGCGAAAUCCAAACACUUGUCACAUACCUAAAAAAUAUCAUAAAAAUCCAAAAUCGAUGUCCAAAAUCUAUUACGACCAAUUUUGGAGUUUCGGCACGGUGGUUACGCCGUGCUCUGGUGCCGGUUUUGGCGUCCACGGCAGCAGUUCGCCUCAGCCUAGCCAGUUUUGGUCGNNN